rnacentral:rRNA from 1 species
AACGAACGCUGGCGGCAUGCCUAACACAUUCAAGUCGAACGAGACCUUCGGGUCUAGUGGCGCACGGGUGCGUAACGCGUGGGAACCUGCCCUUCGGUUCGGAAUAACUCCCCGAAAGGGGUUCUAAUACCGGAUAAUGUCUUCGGACCAAAGAUUUAUCGCCUUUGGAUGGGCCCGCGUUGGAUUAGCUAGUUGGUAGGGUAAAAGCCUACCAAGGCGACGAUCCAUAGCUGGUCUGAGAGGAUGAUCAGCCACACUGGGACUGAGACACGGCCCAGACUCCUACGGGAGGCAGCAGUGGGGAAUAUUGGACAAUGGGCGAAAGCCUGAUCCAGCAAUGCCGCGUGAGUGAUGAAGGCCUUAGGGUUGUAAAGCUAUUUUACCCGGGAUGAUAAUGACAGUACCGGGAGAAUAAGCUCCGGCCAACUCCGUG